rnacentral:rRNA from 1 species
UACGUAGGGCGCAAGCGUUAUCCGGAAUUAUUGGGCGUAAAGAGCUCGUAGGCGGUUUGUCGCGUCUGCCGUGAAAGUCCGGGGCCCAACUCCGGAUCUGCGGUGGGUACGGGCAGACUAGAGUGAUGUAGGGGAGACUGGAAUUCCUGGUGUAGCGGUGAAAUGCGCAGAUAUCAGGAGGAACACCGAUGGCGAAGGCAGGUCUCUGGGCAUUAACUGACGCUGAUGUGCGAAAGCUAGGGGAGCAAACGGG